AUUGAACGCUGGCGGCAGGCCUAACACAUGCAAGUCGAACGGUAACAGGAAGCAGCUUGCUGCUUUGCUGACGAGUGGCGGACGGGUGAGUAAUGUCUGGGAAACUGCCUGAUGGAGGGGGAUAACUACUGGAAACGGUAGCUAAUACCGCAUAACGUCGCAAGACCAAAGAGGGGGACCUUAGGGCCUCUUGCCAUCGGAUGUGCCCAGAUGGGAUUAGCUAGUAGGUGGGGUAACGGCUCACCUAGGCGACGAUCCCUAGCUGGUCUGAGAGGAUGACCAGCCACACUGGAACUGAGACACGGCCCGGACUCCUACGGGAGGCAGCGGAGGGGAAUAUUGCACAAUGGGCGCAAGCCUAAUGCAGACAUGCCGCGUGUAUGGCAAAGGCCUUCGGGUUGUAGAGUACUUUCAGCGGGGUGGAAGGGAGUAAAGUUAAUACCUUUGCUCAUUGACGUUACCCGCAGAAGAAGCACCGGCUAACUCCGUG
rnacentral:rRNA from 1 species